GAUGAACGCUGGCGGCGUGCUUAACACAUGCAAGUCGAACGGUGAAGGCGGAGCUUUCUCUGCUGGAUCAGUGGCGAACGGGUGAGUAACACGUGAGCAAUCUGCCCCUGACUCUGGGAUAAGCGCUGGAAACGGCGGCUAAUACUGGAUACGAGCUGCGAAGGCAUCUUCAGCAGCUGGAAAGAAUUUCGGUCAGGGAUGAGCUCGCGGCCUAUCAGCUUGUUGGUGAGGUAAUGGCUCACCAAGGGGUCGACGGGUAGCCGGCCUGAGAGGGUGACCGGCCACACUGGGACUGAGAGACGGCCCAGACUCCUACGGGAGGCAGCAGUGGGGAAUAUUGCACAAUGGGGGAAAGCGUGAUGCAGCAACGCCGCGUGAGGGACGACGGCCUUCGGGUUGUAAACCUCUUUUAGCAGGGAAGAAGCGAAAGUGACGGUACCUGCAGAAAAAGCGCCGGCUAACUACGUG
rnacentral:rRNA from 1 species